rnacentral:tRNA from 1 species
ACCUUCGUGGUGUAGUGGCCAGCACGCUCGACGCGUAUUCAAGAAGUCUGUGGUUCGAGUCCCGCCGAAGGCA